CUCUUGACAAAGGAAAGAAGGCCUGUUUAUUCGGGUGCCGGGCCCAAGUGUCCACCUCCCCCGUACCCAAGCUUUGGUUCUUAGGCAUCCAACUCCCUUUAUCCAGACGUCCUCCCUAAGGAAAGAUGGAACUAGAGAUGGCAAUGACUCCUUUUAGACCCCAGCUUGGCUCCAAUCAGGUGUCAGCUAUCUGACAGCUCCUUGCAACAAACCAGCUGAUAUCAGCACCCCUCACUAGUGCUCUACCCCAGGGUGAUCCUUUCUCAGACAGACAGCCCCACAUCCUGGAGCGCCGCUAUGCAACUGGACUACGAGCUUGACGCCAGCUCCCUCUCACUAUCUCUGGAGGAUUUCCUUGUGCAGGGCUCAACCUCCACACCUGUAUGCAAGGUGCUCAUGUGGGGAACAGCCUGAAUACACAGAAGACUGGGCAGCCUGCAAGAAAGAGGCAAUGCCUGGCCACAUCAACUUCCUGAAAGCUUUGAAGAGUACAGCAGCAGGCCAGGUGUGGUGGCUCACACCUGUAAUCUCAGCACUUUGGGAGGCCAAGGCGGGUGCACCACAAGGUCAAGAGACCAAGAUCAUCCUGGACAAGAUGUGGAAACCCCGUCUCUACUAAAAAUACAAAUAUUAGCUGAAUGUGGUGGCAUGCUCCUGUCAUCCCAGCUACUCGGGAGGCUGAGACAGGAAAAUGACCUGAACCCAGGAGGCGGAGGUUGCAGUGAGCUGAGAUUGUGCCACUGCACUCCAGCUUGGUGACAGAGCAAGACUCCAUCUCGAAAAAAAAAAAAGAAGAAGAAUGAACCUGUUUAAUUUUGUUCAAAACAGC
rnacentral:lncRNA from 1 species